AAGCGUGGGGAGCAAACAGGAUUAGAUACCCUGGUAGUCCACGCCGUAAACGAUGUCGAUUUGGAGGUUGUGCCCUUGAGGCGUGGCUUCCGGAGCUAACGCGUUAAAUCGACCGCCUGGGGAGUACGGCCGCAAGGUUAAAACUCAAAUGAAUUGACGGGGGCCCGCACAAGCGGUGGAGCAUGUGGUUUAAUUCGAUGCAACGCGAAGAACCUUACCUGGUCUUGACAUCCACAGAACUUUCCAGAGAUGGAUUGGUGCCUUCGGGAACUGUGAGACAGGUGCUGCAUGGCUGUCGUCAGCUCGUGUUGUGAAAUGUUGGGUUAAGUCCCGCAACGAGCGCAACCCUUAUCCUUUGUUGCCAGCGGU
rnacentral:rRNA from 1 species